UCAGGCGGCUAUGGCGCCGGGGCUACACCUCUUCCCUUUCCGAACAGAGUAGUUAAGCCCGGUCGCGCCAAUGGUACUGCAAGAUUUGUGGGAGAGUAGGGAGCUGCCGGUU
rnacentral:rRNA from 1 species